AUGAACGCUAGCGGCAGGCCUAACACAUGCAAGUCGAGGGAGAGGUUACCUUCGGGUAACCAAACCCGGCGCACGGGUGCGUAACGCGUAUACAAUCUGCCUUUCACAUAGGGAUAGCCCGAAGAAAUUUGGAUUAAUACCUAAUGGUAUAUAAGAGCGGCAUCGUUUUUAUAUUAAAGCUACGGUGGUGAAAGAUGGGUAUGCGUUCUAUUAGCUAGUUGGAGAGGUAACGGCUCCCCAAGGCGACGAUAGAUAGGGGUUCUGAGAGGGAUGUCCCCCACACUGGUACUGAGAUACGGACCAGACUCCUACGGGAGGCAGCAGUGAGGAAUAUUGGACAAUGGUCGGAAGACUGAUCCAGCCAUGCCGCGUGCAGGAUGAAGGUCCUAUGGAUUGUAAACUGCUUUUGUAAGGGAAGAAUAAGGAGUACGUGUACUUUGAUGACGGUACCUUACGAAUAAGCAUCGGCUAACUCCGUG
rnacentral:rRNA from 1 species